AAAUUUAAAAAAAAAAAACGGAGAAAACCCAUUUCUUCUGUGAAGGCGGCUGAAGAAACUCAAUCUUCUCGCACUUGAGCUUCUAUGAAUCUGAAACUUCUAAGCUCAGUUGCUCGCUGUGGUGGCUAUGGCGAUUAACAACAAUAACGGGGAUUUCCUAAUGCUCGAAGAUCCGCCGCAACCAGCGUGGCGUGUUUCUGCAGAUGCGGAGGUAAUCGACGCCUUGGCCUACAUCGACGACGACGACUAUGUAGACCCUAGCAGAGGUCGAUCGCUUAGUGGAGGAAGAGAUGCGGCGUAGCUCCAAGAGACCGGCCGACUUUCUCAAAGACUUGCCUCCUAUUCCCAAGUUCAAAUUUGACGAUCAUCCAAUGCUUGCCAGAGAGUAUGAACGUGUAUGAGCUGGGAGGCCUCCCGUGCCUCUCGAUGUUGCAAGAUACAAAUUGGAGAUGCCAGCUCCAAAUAAAAAGAAUGUAUUUCUUGGAAGCAGACACUUCAGAAAGCUCAAUGCUUACUACGUCAUCAAGUGCUGAGUUCGAGUUGGCUGCUUGAACUCAUACAGGUCCUGGAAUUCCUGCAAUACCACGACCUCAUGUGUUGGACUACAGUUAGAGUCACCACUAGCCGAUAUUGUCCUAUUUGGACUUUCCCUUUUGGGCUUCCUCUUAAGGUUUUAAAACGCGUCUGUUAGGGGAGGUUUCCACACUCUUAUAAAGAGUGCUUCGUUCUACUCCCCAACCGAUGUGGGAUCUGACAGUUGGUAAUGUUGGGUUUCCACACCACAACUAUAUUAUUCUCAUCUGAAUUGAAUUGAUUCAUUGAUCAAGGACUUUAUUAUUGUUAGAUGCUUAUCUUUGCACAUUGGUGAACGCAUUGCAAUCCUUACUUUUGACUACAUUAGUCAGAAGAAAUGAAACAUCCAGAUGCAUUUGCUGCUGUCUAUGGCUCUUUCUUUCAUAAGCGCCUAUGUGCUCUUUCUUAGAACUCAAGUACAUGGGAGUACAACUUAUAAAAUAGAUCCUGUACAAGGUCCUGCUUAGGUGCCCUUUAAUGUUGCAUCCAUGCUAGAAACUUUAUGUUUGAGGAGGUUAUCACUUCACGUUAUUUAAGAUUGUAAAUACCCGAGAACUUUAUAUUUGGGAUCUUCAUGAUAUAAUGACAAUGAGAUUCUGCAUGCCCCUGCAACAUAAAAGUCGGUGUCUCUCUUUUGGUUAGACAUUCCAACUUUCACUUGCUUGUUGUCACAUUAUCUGAGGCAAGGGCCGUUUCUAUCAAAACUAAAAACCAUUGCAUCACAGGCAUUAGCUUUAUAGAACACUUGGCCACAUUUAUGUACAUGUCAUUUCUUAAUGUAGUAAGCAAGAAACUACAUCUGACCAACUUGACCAUAUAUGAUUGUUACUUAUAUUGUCUUGUUACUGUCAGAUUGCAACAAUUAGCUCAAGAACAGAAUGAGAAGAUGGAAAAAGUAAACCGCGAAAGAAAAUUCCAUCAAGUGAGUAACAUCCCUGUAAUUCAUAUUAUUAGUAUAAGCUAGAGGUCAAUUCUUUGGAAUUGUUGGUUGAUUUUUUAUGCAAUGGUCAGCAAAACGCUGCAUCUGAGCUUCAUGUUUUGUCCACACAAUGGAAGGAACUUUGCCAGAAAAAUAUUGAAAUCCGAGUUGUAUCCUCUCAAAUAGAGGAUCAAAUCCAGGAUCGAAGGAGAGAGGCAGAAAAAAAGUAAUCUUGCAUUUUUCUUUUUAUCUCUUUUACACACAUAUUUGGAAUAUUCAGAACCUAUCUGUGGGUUAUGAUUUCAGCUACAUGAUUUCAGAUAUGUACAGCAAGAGAGAAUACGGAGAAUACCAACCGUAUAUUUUCAAAGCUCUGCCUAAUGAAUUAUAUAUAUGGUUCAAUUUACUAUAUAUAGCUAUUUAAAUAAGUGAAUUGGAGCAUCCUAACUAUGGUUUAUGCUUUAUGCUGCUCAAAACUAGAGACUGCGGACAUCUUUUGUUACUCUUAGCAUAUGCCGAUAUGGAAGAUGAGUUCGGUUUAUGGGAGAAGAUUCAGUUGCUUUUGCUAACCACGUUAUUGGGUAACUCUCUGAUUUUUAUUUACAUUAUGUUUUGUGUAUAAAUUAUUGAACUACCAAACUGUCAAUCAAAUGGAUAAUAUUUGAUGACAAUUCAAAUUCUUUUGAUAUAAACUAAGGUACCACAGAGAAUUAUUUGCUUUGUUCAA